rnacentral:rRNA from 1 species
UAUCUCUGUAGAGUCUGCAUAUCAAUAAGCGGAGGAAAAGAAACUAACUAAGGAUUCCCUCAGUAACGGCGAGUGAAGCGGGAAGAGCUCAAAUUUGAAAUCUUCAAGGUUUUACCUUGACGAAUUGUAGUUUAAAGAAGUGUUUUCUGUUGAAGUUUCGGUAAAAGUUCUUUGGAAUAGGACAUCAUAGAGGGUGAGAAUCCCGUAUUUGACCAGUUAUUUUCCAGCUGUGUGAUACACUUUCAAAGAGUCGGAUUGUUUGGGAAUGCAGUCCAAAAUGGGUGGUAAAUUUCAUCUAAAGCUAAAUACUGGCGAGAGACCGAUAGCGAACAAGUACCGUGAGGGAAAGAUGAAAAGAACUUUGAAAAGAGAGUUAAACAGUACGUGAAAUUGUCAAAAGGGAAGCGUUUGACACCAGUGUUGUUUUCUCGAAAAUCAAUUAAAAAUGGCAGGAUUUUGUGUUGUAUUGACUUUAUCAGCUUUCUGCACUUUUUUCUUGUCUUUUUUAAUGCACUUUUCGUUUAACAAGUCAACAUCAAUUUCUUUUGCUGUAAAAGAGUCAUUGGAAGGUGGCUUUCACUUUCGGUGAAAGUGUUUAUAGCCUUUGACUUCUGCAGUCGGAGAGAUUGAGGUCUGCAGCGUAGAUCCUUCGGGGUUAGAUGCAUUUGUGCUAAGUUAUAGCCUUUCAUAGACAACUUGUUGACUAUGAUCAGUCAUGUAGCUUACUCGCUUAUGUUAUUUUACCUACGCUUAGGAUGUUGAACGCGCACAGAGUCUC